rnacentral:lncRNA from 7 species
GGUAACGUAGUUCUUAACAGAAUCAUCUUAUCGUUUGCAAGGCAUACACGUAUUAGAUGUCAUUAGAUCUAAGUCAAUGGGCGGCGGGCGGACAAGGGCAUGUGUCAAUGGCGGUAAGCGCCGUUUUCGUUCUUGCACUGCCCGAUUGCAUGCAUUGGCUGCCGAUUAUUGCAACAAGAUGUAUUCGAUCCAUCCGUCGCAAUAACUGUGGCCGGCGGGGAUGCUUUCCUUCCUGUUAUUGGUCACGUACGUACAGCUAGCUACGGAUGGGGACGGUAGCCCCGGUGGACGGUGGAUCCGUCUCAAUUCACAUGUGCAUUAGAAUAGAACUUAAAUUAAUU